AUGAAGAGAUGUAUCCUGCUGAUUCUUGUUACAGUGUCAGGUGUAUUUGCUGACAGCAUUGAUCCAAAAGACACCAAAAUAAUGAGAAGUGAAGAAGAUUCUGUGACACUGAGCUGCACGUAUGAAACAACUAGCCGUGGAGUUUAUCUUUACUGGUACAGACAGAAUCCUAACAGAGAACCUCAAUAUUUACUGUUUAAAGGAGCUCGAUCAUAUACUAAUGAAGAUAUACCAGACAAACAUUUUCAGUCAAAGACGUCUGAAUCAUCCACUGAACUCAUUAUUAAGAGUGUGACUCUGUCAGAUUCAGCUCUAUAUUACUGUGCUCUGAGAGUUGGAGCCCAGUGA